rnacentral:rRNA from 1 species
UACGGAGGUGGCAAGCGUUGCUCGGAAUCACUGGGCGUAAAGGGCGCGUAGGCGGGGAGGUAAGUCGGGUGUGAAAUCCCUCGGCCCAACCGAGGAACUGCGCCCGAGACUGCUUCUCUUGAGUCCCGGAGAGGAAGGUGGAAUUCCCGGUGUAGCGGUGAAAUGCGCAGAUAUCAGGAGGAACACCGAUUGCGAAGGCAGCUCGCUGGGACGUUACUGACGCUGAGACGCGAAAGCGUGGGGAGCAAACAGG